CUUUGAGAUAUACAUUGGAUAAACUUAGACGUCAAAAAAUAUAGAUUAGUAACUACGUAAGUCGGAGUUUAGGUUUGUUUAUGAUGCCAUGAUGAUUUAGUUUGGUUAAUUUCUCUAAUAAUUAAGCAAUAUUCUCAAACUUUCAUUCACUUCGAUCAGUACUGCUAUGUAUAUAACUAUGGAUAUGUCAUAAACACAAUCGCAAAGCACACAGCUAUGCAUGUAGCUAGUCAUAGCUUUUUAUUAUAUGAUACACAAUGCGAUUAACAGAAUAGCAUAAACGGUUCAAUACAAACACACAUACAUAGUAAAAGCUGAUUACCGUCUAAAAUUCUGAUGAAAUCAAACACGCGCCAUUCCAAUAUCUGUAAUUUGGAUAUUUGGCCCAUGCUAUUGAGUUCCUGUUCCGGUUUAUUACCUAGAACAAAAGCUACACACAGUUUACAUAAUACACCAUGCCAGAGAUUCAUGAAGGAUUGAAGGCUUCAGAUCAGUGCUGGAUAUUCAACAAUGGGACUUGAAAUUAUCGCAGGUAAAAUAACGGUGAGAGUCACUCUCGGAAGAGCCAUGUCCGUACUUACCAUAACUCUCAUUUGCAUUGUCGUCGGCUUGAACAUCAUGCUUAGCAUCGCUGUUGCUGCUACCCUUGUUUGUGGUCCGGGGCUGAGACUGGGACUGGUCUUUUGCACCGCCACUAAGAACCUCAGCGCUUCGACCCUGAUUUGGGUCGGUCUUGACCUGAGCCAAGUGACGCUCGUUCAGAACAAACCGAUUAGCAGCAGCUUGCAGAGAUGCCACCAUCAACACAAAGCCGAUAACGCUUAUGACAAGUAUGGUCCUCAUGAUGGUACGUAAAUGAUUCUGCACAAACUAAUGAGAAGUACAUGCAAGUAAAUCAAUAUCAUAGCUAUGUAUUAGUCAAGAAAAUACAAUUAUAUCAAUAAAAGCUUGAAAUAUAAGAUCUAGGCUAGGGUUGUGGAGGAUAUAGCAUACCCUGCAGGAUUGGAGAAAUAUCCAGUGUCUGAAGAAACAACUAUAUGACAGAAGGGAUUGCAAAGGUUGCAAUUUAUAGGCAAUUGGAGACUGAGAUAACUAAGACAGACUAGGUAAUUAGAACAGAGCAGGCAUAUGUGGAAGUGGUGGUAUCACAUUCAGAAGACUGUCGAGAGCUCAGGAUACAAGCUAAGCCACCAAAGAAGCAAAUCAUGAUUACGCGCGGAAUGAUAAUUAGGGUACUUAAUUAAUGUCAUUG
rnacentral:lncRNA from 1 species